CAUCAACAGCAGGCACCACAUCAACCUCUUCCUCAUUAGAAGAGAUUAACAAUUUGGAAUCUCUUCCAGAGGAGAAGCGUGUGCGGAACCUUAUUUCUCUCAAGAAACUUUCCAUUUACAACUGCAAUGGACUCAAAUCUCUCCCUUGUAAAGGUAUUCAACAUCUCACAUCACUUCAAGAGAUGGAAAUCAUGCACUGCAAUGAGCUUGCUCUAAUAAAUGAUGAAGAUGAUGGCAUGCAAUAGCAAGGCCUUAGGAGCCUCCGUUUUCUGCAUUUAGAGAGAAUUCCAAAGAUGCCAGAGGCAAACCGGUGAAGAUUGGCCCAACAUUGCUCAUGUCCGAUACGUGUAUGUGGAUAAUAAAGCAACACAAAACUUCUUAAGGUAUGCAUCUAUCUUUUAACCCCCAAAAUUUGAACCUUAUUCAAAAAUUGCACUUGUGGAUCAAGAACUCAAUGGUAAUCAUCUUCUUUUGGUUUUCUUAAUAUAAAAUUUAUUUAACUAUUUUUCUAUAGAAUUGAACUUUAAUUAGACACAUGAUUUCUUCAAAAUGCUAGAAGAAAAAGGAUAAUUUAAAUUCAUUCAUUUAUAAAAGUUUCCAACGUGUCUAUCAAAUUCUCUCCUUUUUUUGUGGAUAGAUAUCUACAUGUUGGUGACUUGGUGUGAAGAAACUUUUAGAGUCAAAGAAGAAUAAGAGAAUGAUUUAAUGAGUACAAUUUGUUCAUACAUGCACAAAUUCAAAGGAACUUUUUAUUUUCCAAUUGUUGAAUCUUUUGGAUUUUGCCCCACCUUCUACUGCUGCAGUCUCUACCUCUCCUCCCAAUAUAUCAAAGUCUCUGUUCAAACAUUCGGCAACAAUGUGCAUGUUCUUUUCUUUAAUCACUAGAAAGAAAAGAAUAUGGGGAAUUGCGAAAUGGGUGGAUAGAGUUUUUGGGCCAAAGAGAGGUGGAACGAGUAUGAAUAGUUGAGCCGUGAUAGGCAAGAGAAGCAGUUUGAUUAAAUGUACCAAAGAUGGAGUAAUUUGCUGCAAAGUGAUGUAGAGGUCAUCAAGAGAAGAUCCUAUCUAGGAUCCUAAUCAUGACAACCUUGGCCUUAGGCCAUUCCUCCCUUUAAAGUUUCUGUUCAAAGAAUUAUUAAGGAUGGUGAAUCUUGGGCAUGCUGUUCAUUUUGCAAUCAAUUUUUGACAAGGCUCUGGGAAUAUCCAUAGAAGUGAGCGUUGUAGGCCCCAAGCCCCUAAUUAUAGACUCAUAUACCUUCAUGAGGUUAACCUCAAUUGCACAUCUUGGGAUCAAAUAGGUUUUAUUGUAGAUCUUUAUAAACUCUUAAGCCAGAAAUGUGUUUUCUCAAUUCUCCUUUUUUUGAACAUAAUAUUGUACACAUUGUGGAUUGUGAUGGCAAAACUAUGGCAAAUAAAGACC